rnacentral:rRNA from 1 species
UACCAGCUCUCCGAGUGGUAGGGAUGAUUAUUGGGCUUAAAGCGUCCGUAGCCGGCUUAGCAAGUUUCCUGUUAAAUUCAGCGACCUAAUCGUUGAGCCGCGGGAAAUACUACUAGGCUAGGAGGCGGGAGAGGUCGACGGUACUUCUGGGGUAGGGGUGAAAUCCUAUAAUCCCGGGAGGACCACCAGUGGCGAAGGCUGUCGACUAGAACGCGCUCGACGGUGAGGGACGAAAGCUGGGGGAGCGAACCGGAUUAGAUACCCGGGUAGUCCCAGCUGUAAACGAUGCGGGCUAGGUGCUGGGGUGGCUACGUGCCACUUCAGUGCCGCAGGGAAGCCAUUAAGCCCGCCGCCUGGGGAGUACGGCCGCAAGGCUGAAACUUAAAGGAAUUGGCGGGGGAGCACCACCAGGCGUGAAGCCUGCGGUUU